rnacentral:rRNA from 1 species
AUACGUAGGGGGCGAGCGUUGUCCGGAAUGAUUGGGCGUAAAGGGCGCGUAGGCGGCCCGGUAAGUCUGGAGUGAAAGUCCUGUUUUUAAGAUGGGAAUUGCUUUGGAUACUGUAGGGCUUGAGUGUAGGAGAGGUAAGUGGAAUUCCCAGUGUAGCGGUGAAAUGCGUAGAGAUUGGGAGGAACACCAGUGGCGAAGGCGACUUACUGGACUGUAACUGACGCUGAGGCGCGAAAGUGUGGGGAGCAAACAGGAUUAGAUACCCUGGUAGUCCACACUGUAAACGAUGAAUGCUAGGUGUAGGGGGUAUCGACCCCUUCUGUGCCGCAGUCAACACAAUAAGCAUUCCGCCUGGGGAGUACGGCCGCAAGGUUGAAACUCAAAUGAAUUGACGGGG